rnacentral:rRNA from 1 species
AAGGCUAAUCAAGCCCGGAGAUAGCUGGUUCUCCUCGAAAGCUAUUUAGGUAGCGCCUCGUGUCUAACCAUGGGGGGUAGAGCACUGUUAAGGCUAGGGGGUCACCUCGACUUACCAACCCUUUGCAAACUCCGAAUACCCAUGAGUUCAAUCACGGGAGACACACGGCGGGUGCUAACGUCCGUCGUGAAAAGGGAAACAACCCAGACCGUCAGCUAAGGUCCCAAAGUUACAGUUAAGUGGGAAACGAUGUGGGAAGGCUAAAACAGCUAGGAGGUUGGCUUAGAAGCAGCCACCCUUUAAAGAAAGCGUAAUAGCUCACUAGUCGAGUCGGCCUGCGCGGAAGAUAUAACGGGGCUCAAACUGUACACCGAAGCUACGGAUGCACUUUGUGCAUGGUAGAGGAGCGUUCUGUAAGCCGUUGAAGGUCAAGGUGUGAACCAGGCUGGAGGUAUCAGAAGUGCGAAUGCUGACAUAAGUAACGACAAGGGGAGUGAAAAACUCCCCCGCCGGAAACCCAAGGGUUCCUGUCCAACGUUAAUCGGGGCAGGGUUAGUCGGCCCCUAAGGCGAGGCAGAAAUGCGUAGUCGAUGGGAAUCAGGCUAAUAUUCCUGAACUUUCUAUAACUGCGAUGGAGGGACGGAGAAGGCUAGGCCAUCCUGGCGACGGUUGUCCAGGUCCAAGCGCAUAGGGAGUGUUCUUAGGCAAAUCCGGGAACACAAUCCUGAAACGUGACGGGGAGGCUCUACGGAGCCGAAGUGGUUGAUGCCAUGCUUCCAGGAAAAGCUCCUAAGCUUCAGGUUAUAGAAAACCGUACUCUAAACCGACACAGGUGGGCAGGGUGAGUAUCCCAAGGCGCUUGAGAGAACUCGGGUGAAGGAACUAGGCAAAAUUGUACCGUAACUUCGGGAGAAGGUACGCCCCUGGGGGUGAAUAGCCCCCGGGGGCCGCAGUGAACUGGUGGCUGCAACUGUUUAUUAAAAACACAGCACUCUGCAAACACGAAAGUGGAA